rnacentral:rRNA from 1 species
UGAGGAAUAUUGGUCAAUGGACGCAAGUCUGAACCAGCCAAGUAGCGUGCAGGCUGACGGCCCUAUGGGUUGUAAACUGCUUUUAUAUGGGGAUAAAGUGGGGAACGUGUUCCCUUUUGCAGGUACCAUAUGAAUAAGGACCGGCUAAUUCCGUGCCAGCAGCCGCGGUAAUACGGAAGGUUCGGGCGUUAUCCGGAUUUAUUGGGUUUAAAGGGAGCGUAGGCCGUUUGGUAAGCGUGUUGUGAAAUGUAGGAGCUCAACUUCUAGAUUGCAGCGCGAACUGUCAGACUUGAGUGCGCACAACGUAGGCGGAAUUCAUGGUGUAGCGGUGAAAUGCUUAGAUAUCAUGAAGAACUCCGAUUGCGAAGGCAGCUUACGGGAGCGCAACUGACGCUGAAGCUCGAAGGUGCGGGUAUCGAACAGG